rnacentral:rRNA from 1 species
UAGUCAUAUGCUUGUCUCAAAGAUUAAGCCAUGCAUGUCUAAGUACAAGCCUAACUAAGGUGAAACCGCGAAUGGCUCAUUAAAUCACACCUAAUCUACUGGAUAGUUAACAGUUACUUGGAUAACUGCGGUAAUUCUGGAGCUAAUACAUGCACAAAGCCCCGAACUUACGUGAGGGGCGCUUUUAUUAGAUCAAAACCAAACGGCUUCGGCUGUAUCCUUGGUGACUCUGAAUAACUUUGGGCUGAUCGCAUGGCCUAGCGCCGGCGACAUAUCCUUCGAAGGUGUGCCCUAUCAACUGUCGACCGUGGCAUAGACGCCCACAGUGGUUUUGACGGGUAACGGGGAAUCAGGGUUCGAUUCCGGAGAGGGAGCCUUAAAAACGGCUACCACAUCUAAGGAAGGCAGCAGGCACGCAAAUUACCCAAUGACCGAAGGUCGAGGUAGUGACAAAAAAUAACGAUACGGGACUCAUCUGAGGCCCCGUAAUCGGAAUGAGUACACCUUAAAACCGUCCCCGAGGAUCUAUU